rnacentral:rRNA from 1 species
AUUGAACGCUGGCGGCAUGCCUUACACAUGCAAGUCGAACGGUAACAGGUCUUCGGAUGCUGACGAGUGGCGAACGGGUGAGUAAUACAUCGGAACGUGCCUAGUAGUGGGGGAUAACUACUCGAAAGAGUGGCUAAUACCGCAUGAGAUCUACGGAUGAAAGCAGGGGAUCGCAAGACCUUGUGCUACUAGAGCGGCCGAUGGCAGAUUAGGUAGUUGGUGGGAUAAAAGCUUACCAAGCCGACGAUCUGUAGCUGGUCUGAGAGGACGAUCAGCCACACUGGGACGGGGACACGGCCCAGCCUCCUACGGGAGGCAGCAGUGGGGAAUUUUGGAAAAUGGGCGCAAGCCUGAUCCAGCAAUGCCGCGUGCAGGAUGAAGGCCUUCGGGUUGUAAACUGCUUUUGUACGGAACGAAAAGCCCUGGGUUAAUACCCUGGGGUCAUGACGGUACCGUAAGAAUAAGCACCGGCUAACUACGUGCCAGCCGCCGCGGUAAUAC